CAUUUGGGACCUCUGUCUCCUCAAGGCUUUUCUUGGGUUUCACCAUGCCCAUGGAAGCACCCAGACACCAAAGAAAUUGGCAGGGAUCUCUAGCCAGCACUGCUGAAAGUGUGACACCCACCCUGAGACAGUGUCUACCCAAGUCCUGGGAAACAAGGCACUGUGCCCGUGUCUGCACUGGAUCUCUCUCCACCUAUGGAAACACUGUCUCCUAUGCGUUCGCGUGACCCCUCCUGCCUAGGAUGGAGUAUGAUUUAUCCCAGAUCUGAUAGCUGGUUCCUGUGAUUUUUCCCAGUAGGCAUUUGUGGCAGGAGAGAUGAGGGCCUUCCUGUAAGCAGCUUGGAGGCCUGAUGUGACCCCCUUCUUAUACCCACCCCAUCUCAGGGAAAUAACCUGGCUAGAGCCAACCAAGAAUCCAAACAUCUCCCACACGUGUCUUCAUAGACCUUUUGCCCAUGUGCCCUCCCUAACCUGUGCCCAGCUAAUCUCACCAAUGGAUUUAUUUACCAAGCAAUCCACCACAUGGGAAAUGUCUGCAAAACUCAUAGUGGUGUCGCCUGUCACCUAGUGCUCAUAGUCGGUACUACAUGGUCUCCAUCAAAGAGGGCUAGAAGGGCCAUAUGGGGUGUAUAGGACUUGAAGGGCUAUGAGAGCACCCAACAGGGCUUGGAGUUCCUCCCUAGUGCCUCAGAGAGAACCAGAAGCUCCCAGAACUAUUGUCUGCCCUCAUAUAGUUGUGUGACCCAAGCGUAACUAAGCCCCGCCCCUUACAUGCAUGACAUAGAAAGGCAAGUGACUUUUCAAUAUGCUCAUUCAUCUCCAGGACUCAGAAUCAGAGCACCCCUAACCCUGCCCUGCUCUCCCUGCCACAGCGGCGGACUCAGGGCUGUGCCUGCUCAGCCAAGCUUAAGGAGUCUGGAAGCGAGCAUUUUCAUUUUCAUCCAGGGCCAGUUCAGAUACCAGUAGAUCUCCCAUAGUUAGGAUGGGAAGAUGAAUUGGGGUGGGUCCCAGGCAGAAUCAGCCUCAUGUCCAAGACCAUUGGCUUGGCCUUAAUAGCCAGGAAAAGCAGGCUAGAGAAUAUCAGAAAAGCUAGGGACUGGGAGAAAGGAUGCUAAGGGCAGGGGCGGUACCGUGUGAUCCUGGCCAUAUCACCCUCUUCUUCUAUGAUUCAAUUUCUUCCCUUUAAAGAAAGCAGCAGUUAUCAACCUGUGAGUCGAUUGCAUAUUACAUGGGUUGGUUUUUGUGGGUUGGUUGCAUAUUAGAUGUACUACAUAUUUACAUUAUGAUUCAUAGCAGUAACAAAAUUAUAGUUAUAAAGAAGUGAGGAAAAUAAUUCUAUGACUGGGGAGGGGGUUGGUCAGUACAACAUGAGGAACCGUAUUAGAGAGUCACAGAGUUAAGAAAGUUGAGAACCACUGCAUUCAAAGUGAAGGAUCUCUCAGGCUGCAGAGAUGGCGCAGUGGUUAAGAGCACUGACUGCUCUUCCAGAGGUCCUGAGUUCAAUUCCCAGCAACCACAUGGUGGCUCACAACCAUCUGUCAUGGGAUCCCAUGCCCUCUUCUGGAGUGUCUGAAGACACAUGCUCAUAUACAUAAAACAAAUAAAUUUAAAAAUAAAAGCUACC
rnacentral:lncRNA from 1 species